ensembl:lncRNA
AUUGCAAGGAUUGUAGACAGCAGUGAGGAGGAGGGAAGAGUUGGGGUGAGAAUGUGUGAGGAGAGAGGACUGAGUGACUUCUAGGGAGCAGUAGUUACAGCGGCAAGUAGAAGACCAUUCUCAGACCUCCGAGGAGGAGCUGGGAGCAUCUCCUUCAAUAAUCACGAAGUACUGAGAGCUAGACUCCUUCCCCCAUCCACUCUUGUUAAGCUGAAGAACUCUAAUGCAGCCUGAAGACCAACUCAAAGUCAAUCCCAGCUCAGCCCUGUCUCCAUCUUGGGAUUUGGAAGGUGGAACUGCCCCCUGUCCUGCUCCCUUUUCCUGGACUGUGCAUUGCAUAUGGUGGCACACCAUGGCCUCCCUCAGCGACCACUCACUCCACGCACGGAGGACCGUUUACAUCCUGGCUGCCAGGCCGUUUUCCCAUGUCUUGGUUGGGCCAACCACCUUCUUACCCUGGCAUUUGAGUUUCCUCCUCCCGUGGGAGAUUCCAAGCCUAAGUGCGGGCAAUUAUCUUGGCUCUGAAGGAAGGAAGAAGUAGGAGGAUAUGAAGUAAAAGGGCUGCAGGUGACCAGAAGGGGAAGGAUGAGGGAUAACAGUGGCAGGAAGGCAAUGGUACACAGCUUCCACCAGUUCACACAGAAAAGUUAAAACAAUGUCAGGAACUUUUCAUAAAGUUAAAUGUAUUUAAUGAUUUUAUUCUGUGAUUAUGAACUCUCCAUGGUGUAUUAGAAUGUUCUUUCUUUUGUGAGUUAAUGGAAUUGAAAUAAAGAGUUGGUAAGUUGG